rnacentral:rRNA from 1 species
UACGUAGGGGGCAAGCGUUGUCCGGAAUUAUUGGGCGUAAAGAGCGUGUAGGCGGCCAGAUAAGUCCGCUGUGAAAUCUCGGGGCUCAACCCCGAAACUGCACUUGAUACUGCGGUGCUCGAGUACUGGAGAGGAGAUUGGAAUUUACGGUGUAGCAGUGAAAUGCGUAGAUAUCGUAAGGAAGACCAGUGGCGAAGGCGAAUCUCUGGACAGUUACUGACACUGAGGCACGAAGGCCAGGGGAGCAAACGGGG